rnacentral:misc_RNA from 1 species
GAGACAGGUAAGGUUGGGCUAAUGGCAUUCCAUAUGUUGGGUGAAGCUCAUAUGUGGUUCUAUAGGCCGGAGUAGGAAGAGUUGGGAUUAACUUGGAAUACCUUCAAGACCUAUGUAACCUGCGCUUCCUGUACAAAGCAAUCCAUUGGGAGAAUUGGUAAAUUUGAAACAAACAAGCACAAUAGAUGAAUAUCAACGCCAAAUCCAGUCAUUAUUGGCUAGAGCCUCAUUGUUCCCCUGGAUCAACAGGUAGAUCUUUUUACAGUUGGGCUAACUAAUAAUAUUAGAAUGGAUGUGGAAUUGUUGAAUCCACCAA